AAAGAAACGUUUCCAAAAUGAUGAUCAUGUGUACAAGUCUUUUCUAGACAUAUUGAACAUGUAUAGGAAGGAACACAAGGGCAUCACUGAGGUGUACAAGGAGGUUGCAGCCCUUUUUGAAGACCAUGCGGAUUUGCUGGAUGAGUUCACGAGAUUCCUGCCAGAUAAUUCAGGUACUGCAUCAGCAACACAAACAUUAUUUGGCCGCCCUUCUUUCCAGCGUUAUGAUGAGAGGAGCUCUUCUAUUCCAUUGCUUCGGCAAUCAAACAUGGACAAGCAACGUUUCCGUCGGGAUAGAAUUAUCAAUCUUCAUGCAGAACGUGAUCUUAGUGUUGAUCCCCCUGAGAUGGAGGAUGAUAAAACAAUGAUGAAGUUGCAUAAAGAGCAAAAGAGACGUACUGAAAAAGAGAGCAGGGACAGAAGAACUCAUGAUCAGGAUUAUAAAGAACCUGAUAAUGAGAAUAAUGAAGAUCUAAGCAUACAGCGCCACACUGAUAAAAAGAAAUCUGCUCGGAAGGUUGAAGAAUUUGGAGGACCUCAUGAAGAUAAAGAUGCCCUGAAAAAUAUGUAUAGCCAAGAGUUCACUUUCUGUGAAAGAGUAAAGGAGAGACUGCGCAGUCCAACUGAUUACCAGGCAUUCCUAAAGUGUCUCCAUAUUUAUAGUACUGAAAUAAUUACAAGAAAGGAGUUACAAAGUUUG
rnacentral:misc_RNA from 1 species